rnacentral:rRNA from 1 species
AAUCAACGCUGGCGGCGUGCCUCAGACAUGCAAGUCGAACGCGAAAUGUCUCUUCGGGGAGAAAGUAGAGUGGCGCACGGGUGAGUAACACGUAGGUAAUCUACCUUUGGAUGGGGAAUAACACCGAGAAAUCGGUGCUAAUACCGCAUAAUGCAGCGGCACCUAAUGGUGACAGUCGUUAAAGCGGGGGAUCGCAAGACCUCGCGUCUAAAGAGGAGCCUGCGGCGGAUUAGCUAGUUGGUAAGGUAAUGGCUUACCAAGGCGACGAUCCGUAACCGGCCUGAGAGGGCGGUCGGUCACACUGACACUGACAUACGGGUCAGACUCCUACGGGAGGCAGCAGUCGGGAAUUUUGGGCAAUGGGCGAAAGCCUGACCCAGCAACGCCGCGUGAAGGAUGAAAUCCCUCGGGAUGUAAACUUCGCAAGAACGGGAAGAAUAAGCCGGUGUGAAUACCACCGGCGAUGACGGUACCGUUUGUAAGCUCCGGCUAACUCCGUGCCAGCAGCCGAC